rnacentral:rRNA from 1 species
UACGUAGGGUGCAAGCGUUAAUCGGAAUUACUGGGCGUAAAGCGUGCGCAGGCGGUGAUGUAAGACAGAUGUGAAAUCCCCGGGCUCAACCUGGGAACUGCAUUUGUGACUGCAUCGCUGGAGUGCGGCAGAGGGGGAUGGAAUUCCGCGUGUAGCAGUGAAAUGCGUAGAUAUGCGGAGGAACACCGAUGGCGAAGGCAAUCCCCUGGACCUGUAUUGACGCUCAUGCACGAAAGCGUGGGGAGCAAACAGG